CCUCUGCCAACGCUCCUGCCCCGCACACCCACCCGCCGCUCCCGCGUUGUCCGCCCCCGUCAUGAAUUGCCCUCUUCCAUGUGCACCACAGAAAUCUCGGCGCAAGAUCCCCCCGAAACCUCGCCAUACCCUACUGCGAGGCGUACCAUUCGACAGCGAGGCCCUCCUUGGCGGGAACGGCGUGGUAGUCGUGGAGGCUAAGACGCUCCACCUCGACGUGUGCGUUGAACCACACGCUGUGCUUGUCCUUGCAUAACCUGGUGAGGAUUUGGCCGCAUCAUCCCGCUGAGCAUCGCGUGCGACGGCAGGCCCUGCUGCUCCCAGGUGUCAGUGCGAGAUAGGAGAGCGCGAACCUGGCCGAGCUCCAUGUGAGGCAGUCCCAAGGCACACGGGCCUCGCGGUGGCCCAAGGACGUCGGGCGGAAGUCGUGCCGAGCUACUUCCCUGCCUACGCCAAAGACGCCCAACGCAGAGAAGAGGAUGCCCACCAGCGACGUCCCGUGCUGCGACCGCCACGCGAAGAAGGCUGACGGCAUGCCCCGCUCCGAUAUGCCCAACAGCUGGGACCGGGAAAAAGACAUGGGACAAAUAGAAGACAUCUAAAGCUUUCCAAGGCAGAUGCCUCCAGAGGAUAUCUACUCUCUGGUCAUAUGAUCAAUGCAUAGAUCACUUCAGACAAUCAAAUAACAGUAGUAUACAUAGAAAUGCAACAUGUAAGUAUUUCCUUUCUAUGUCUAACAGUAGUUUACAAAUAUAUUCCACAUAUAACCAUAUUAGCUUAAUUGAUCUAUGUAUAAAUUAUGAUUAUUAGAAUAAAUUUUAAUUCCAAAUAUCCAAACAUGGCCUAAAUAAAUACUGAAUUGGACAUUGUAUUUAAAUAGACAACAGGGAACAUGAGCAUAUCACCAGACACACACUAGAACUCAUAAAACAGGGAUACUAUGCUAUUAGUCUCUCUUAAAUGCAGUACAUGGAAGCAAGGUUUAUGAUCAGAUUUUUGUAUACCAGAGAACACUCAAGUCUCCCAACUGCCCGCCUGCCGAGGUGAGCUCCGAAUGCCUGCCCUCCACCUCUGAUCCGUGUUGCGGCUUCGCUCCUGUGUGGAGCAAGUUAAUUUUUUUUAACAUGCAUCAACAUAGAUGUCGUCCAAUUACGACUGAAGCAAAAAAAUAUUGCAAGGCUAAACACUCGGGUCAAUUGCUAUGUCUAGGUAAUUAGUUUUUUGUUUAAGUUUCAUUUAGUCUAUAUGUUUGAUUUUUCCCCUUGCCUACAGACCAGCCUAGGUAUUCAUCACUUGUGAAAAAAAGAAUAUCAGUGUUGAUGGUAAAAAAAGUAUGGAUGCUUAAAAGUCUUGCUCAUUUCUUGGUAGGUUGGAUGUGGCUCCACCAGCACUGCCUCCCUACUUCCUCUACUGCUGCGGCUACUGCUACAUGAUCUAUCGUGCCUGUUUUUCUAGGAAUCUUAAUGGCAUCAGGCUGGCAUUUUGUUUAACUCAUUAGCAGCCAGCAGCACCACGGCCCACGGGUGAUAGCUCGGUACGAGUACGAAGACAAAGCUGUUGGUUGCUUUCUAACAGUUUAGAUAUUUUGCCCCUGCUUGCUGUGUGGCGUCAAAACUCAAAAGGUUUAUCAUUCAUGCUCAAGCUACGCGGAGUCGCGGACAAAACGAGCGUCUCCAGAAUCCAAAUGAGGCAGGCGAUUUUUCACCGCAUUUCGCCCAAAAACCUUUGCUCCUUCCACUUGCAGGGUAACUGCGACUCCACGUAACAAUGGCUUAUUCCAAUACCCAUGUGCCCACACCUGUCCAUGCAUUUGUUACAAAUAUUUUUCUAAUAAGGUGUGAUUUUAUCCUUUUAUUUAGAAUGGUUAGGAGUAAUAUCCCACUAGCCAAUUAUUCCAUACAAUUCUCGUGUAUGGGAGUUCUACACCUCCCUCGUAUACCUAUACUUGUCGUGGAAUCGUAGGGAGUCAUGGGGCGUAAUUUCUAUAUAUAAAUAUGUAUCGAUAAUGAACAAAAAGUCACAAAAGUUCAUUUA